rnacentral:rRNA from 1 species
AUUGAACGCUGGCGGCAGGCCUAACACAUGCAAGUCGAACGGUAACAGGAAGAAGCUUGCUUCUUUGCUGACGAGUGGCGGACGGGUGAGUAAUGUCUGGGAAACUGCCUGAUGGAGGGGGAUAACUACUGGAAACGGUAGCUAAUACCGCAUAACGUCGCAAGACCAAAGAGGGGGACAUUCGGGCCUCUUGCCAUCGGAUGUGCCCAGAUGGGAUUAGCUUGUUGGUGGGGUAACGGCUCACCAAGGCGACGAUCCCUAGCUGGUCUGAGAGGAUGACCAGCCACACUGGAACUGAGACACGGUCCAGACUCCUACGGGAGGCAGCAGUGGGGAAUAUUGCACAAUGGGCGCAAGCCUGAUGCAGCCAUGCCGCGUGUAUGAAGAAGGCCUUCGGGUUGUAAAGUACUUUCAGCGGGGAGGAAGGGAGUAAAGUUAAUACCUUUGCUCAUUGACGUUACCCGCAGAAGAAGCACCGGCUAACUCCGUG